GUGAACAACUGAUGAUGAAGAUGAUGAUAUUAUUAAAACAGCUUAAAGUAGCUUUUAAGUAGAUGAUGAUAA